CUAGCUUAUUCUGUCAUCUUAGUUUCUUUCCCAAGAUCUAGCCUAACAGUUAUGAAUCUGAAAUCUGGUUUAUAUUACUUAUGAGACCUGGGGCAAAACAAUAACUUCUCCAGGUCUCAGUUUCCUCAAUUGGAAAAUGGAUUAGAUGGAUCUCGAAGUCCUUGUCAGCUUUGAAUCUAGGAACCUAAAAUCAUUCCUAGCCAACCGUAUUUCUCACUGAUCAUCCAAUAAGGCUUCUUUACUCCAAUCAGACAGACUUAUAUACUCAAUGUCCCCAAAUAUCUCAUGAUGAUUUUCAACACUCUGCUUUUGCUCAGAAAAAAAAGACUGAAGCCAAGAGAGGUUAAAAGAACAAUUGUGGUGAGCUUGGAGAAUACUUCAAAAACUCAAUGACUUCAAAAUUAUCUGACUAAUUUGGUCAUUCCAUGGAGAAAAUGGCAAAUGGCAUUUGAGCAAGAAAUAUAUACUUUUGGUGCAAAUAAGUGGCUCAAUGGAAAGAAUGCCAGGUCUGGAGUCAGAAGACAUGAGUUCAAAUAUGGCCUCAAAUAUAUCCUAGCUGUGUGACCCUGGCUACCAUGUUCAUUCAAGACAAAUUGAACCUACUCAAUCUGUUCAAAGCAGCUGGAGACAGUUCACAGCAGUGGAUCCUAAUGACCUGUCUUAAUCAAUCAAUCAAUCAAUCAGGAAAUCUUUAUUGAGCUCAUACAAGUUGGCAGAAGAGGAAGAAAGAAGAAAGGAGAAUAAGACAAUCUAACCAUUAAAACAAUACAAAAGUGGAAUGGGCUGCCUUUGGAAGUAGUAUGUUUUUCUAUUCUCAGUGUCUCCAAGCAAAGGUUGAAUAUUUUGAGGAACAUCAAAAGAAAGGAUUUGUAGUCAAAUGUUCUUGGACUAAAAGACCUUUGAAGUACCAUCUAUCUAAGAUUCUAGGAUCCUAACUUUCAGGGAGCUAAUUAGGAAGAUAAAUCAUAUUCAAAUAAGAUAAAUUUUAGUAAAUGGCAUUGCCAAAUGAAUGGUAUAAAGGAAUGCUACUAUUUAUGGGUAUAAAAAACAUCAGAAGGUGAUUUUGUAUGCAUUUGUUAGAGGGUAGUGAAGGAGGUGGAAAACUAAGUUUUCUUUAGACAUCUUUAAUUUUAAAUAAUGGCAUUAUAUCAAAAUGAAAUAAAAUGUCUAUCACACUGCUGAAAUGGAGAAUUCACCAGCCCAGGAGAAAGAUAGUCACAGUUCGGAUAGGAAGUUUUUAUAUAAUUGAUGUGCUGGAGCCAGCUCUGAAAAGCAACUAUUAAAUGUUCAAUGUAAGCACUUAUUUCUCAGAAGUUGGCAAUCACCACAAAUAAAAACUUUAUUUUCUUAGUUGA